rnacentral:rRNA from 1 species
UACGUAGGGGGCGAGCGUUGUCCGGAUUUAUUGGGCGUAAAGAGCUCGUAGGCGGUUUGGCAAGUCGGGUGUGAAAACUCCCGGGCUCAACUCGGAGACGCCACUCGAUACUGCUAUGACUUGAGUCCGGGUAGGGGAGUGCGGAAUUCCUGGUGUAGCGGUGAAAUGCGCAGAUAUCGUAAGGAAGACCAGUGGCGAAGGCGAGUCUCUGGACAGUUACUGACGCUGAGGCACGAAGGCCAGGGGAGCAAACGGG